rnacentral:rRNA from 1 species
UAAAUCAAGAGUUUGAUCCUAGCUCAGGAUGAACGCUGGCGGCGUGGAUAAGGCAUGCAAGUCAAGGGGGCCCGCAAGGGCAACCGGCAGACGAGGUAGUAAUAAGUAGGUACGAACCCAAAAGUCUUGAAUAGCUCGGCGAAAGCCGAGGUAAUACAAGAUGGUCCCUCCGGGGUAAAGAUUUAUCGCUUUUGGAUCGGCCUGCUCGGUAUCAGCUAGUUGGUAAGGUAAUGGCUUACCAAGGCAAUGACGCCUAGGGGACCUGAGAGGGUGACCCCCACCGAUGGGACUGAGACACGGCCCAUACACCUACGGGUGGCUGCAGUCGAGAAUCUUCCACAAUGGACGAAAGUCUGAUGGAGCGACGCCGCGUGCAGGAUGAAGUGCUUCGGUAUGUAAACUGCUUUUGUGAGGGAGGAAGUCUAUUGACGUUACCUCACGAAUAAGAGGUUGCUAAACUCGUGCCAGCAGCAGCGGUAAUACGAGUGCCUCAAGCGUUAUCCGGAAUCAUUGGGCGUAAAGGGUGUGUAGGUGGUUCUGUUAGUCUCGCGUUAAAUUCUUCGGCUCAACCGGGGGCAUGCGCGGGAAACGGCAGGACUUGACGAUGCAAGAGGUCUGCGGAACUCAUAGUGUAGCGGUGAAAUGCGUUGAUAUUAUGGGGAACACCAAAUGCGAAGGCAGCAGACUGGGGCACUCGUGACACUGAAACACGAAAGCGUGGGUAGCGAAUGGGAUUAGAUACCCCAGUAGUCCACGCCCUAAACGAUGUCGAUUAGCUAUGGGGAGUAUCGACCCUCCCCGUGGCGUAGCUAACGCGUUAAAUCGACCGCCUGGGUAGUACGGCCGCAAGGCUAAAACUCAAAGGAAUAGACGGGGACUCGCACAAGCAGAGGAUCAUGUGGUUUAAUUCGAUGGUAAACGAAGAACCUUACCAGGGUUAGAAAUCUAGUUGAAGCUAAGCAGAAACGUUUAGCGCCGCAAGGCAAUUAGACAGGUGCUGCAUGGUCGUCGUCAGUUCGUGGUUUGAAUUGUUCCCUUCAGUGGGGUAACGAACGCAACCCUCGUUGGCUGUUACAAGUGUCAGCCGAGACUGCCCAGCUCUUUGCGCAGAAUCCUUCAUAUAAGGAUUGUGAAUAAAGAGCUGGGAGGAAGGUGAGGAUGACGCCAGAUCAGCAUGGCCCUCUGAUACCCUGGGCUACACACGUGAUACAAUGGCGCGUACAACGCGAUGCGACGGCGAGAGCCUGAGCCAAUCGUUAGAAAGCGCGCCCUAGUUCCGAUAGGAGUCUGAAACUCGACUCCUUGAAGCUGGAUUUGCUAGUAAUCUCGGGUCAGCUAUACCGAGGUGAAUACGUUCUCGAGUCUUGUACUCACCGCCCGUCAACUCAAGGGAGUUGGGAGUGCCCGAAGUCCGCGCUUGUCGCGGCCUAAGGCAAGCUCAAUGACAGGGAGUAAGUCGUAACAAGGCACGGGUAGCGGAAGCUGCUCGUGGAU